GUAACCGAGUUCCCCCCCCCCCCCCAUGCCAAUUAAUUGAUUCCGGCCGGAAAUGUGUGGGGCGGGGGUCUAUUCCGUGCUGGGCCGUGGAGGCCUUCCCCUCCCCCUUCCCUCCGUGUUCUGCACAAACAGGGACAGCUGGGAAGCCAUCUUGGCCCCCCAAUGUGAGGCAGGCUGGGAGCCCUGAGCCGAGCAGCCCCCCCUCUCCCCCCCCCCCCGCCCGGCGCAUUCAGACCCGAGCCCUGAGGGAGGAAGAGGAGGAAAAGCGGGGGGGGGGGGGGGGUAGGGGAGGGGGGAUCAUCUGAAAGGGCCUUGCCGGGCAGUUCCAGAGCCGGAGGGGGGAGGGCGGGGGGCACGGCUCAGCGGAGGCCAUGUUGGAGGGAGGCGGCUGAAGCUCGGCGUGGGCCCGCAGCCUUUCCCCCAUGUAGCCGCUGCGCUCGCAGAGCCUCGCGGGAGACCCCAGGGGGCUCUUCUCGGAGGCGAGAACUUCUUCCCCAGGGCAGGGCCCCAUCAUCUUCUUCCAGCUCCUCACCCAAGGCUCUGAGACGAUGGACAAAAUGACCCGUCUGGGGCCAACAUGGGAAUGCUGCCUUCUCACCAGAGCCGGCCCUGAUGUUUAACUGGUGACAUGCUCGUCCUCCUUGGGCACCAAGCAAACAGCUGAGAUUAGCACCCGGCUAAUGAGAAGAAACAAGCUAAAACGGGGCUCUGGAGGCUGCUGCCCAUCCCAUCCUGUCCCCUCUCUGCCCAGGGAGGUCUUGUCCUGUUUCCCUCCAAGAGAAUUGUCCCAGGCCCCAAAAUGGCUAGAUCAUAGCUCUGGUUUCCAUAGAUUCAGUUCAUCACAUUAAGUAUGGACCAGAAACCGAGACUUCCUUGAGCCCAGAGCCUGACACUUUCAGAACCAGUGGGCAAAACCAGUGGGAAUGAGAAAGAUGAAUUUGAAUUCUCCCCAAAGAAACAGCCAUAGAGCUGUUCUACUCAGCCACUGAGCAGUUAGUGAAUGCCUACUGCUCCUAAGACACUUGUCAUAGAGUUUGGGGAAAAGGGAAAACUAAUGAAUUAAAAAUUAAUUUUAAAAAA
rnacentral:lncRNA from 1 species